rnacentral:lncRNA from 10 species
AAAUCUACUUGGAUAUUGGUAUAACCAUACCAAUUUUCUUUUAACUAAUGUUAGUAUAGUACAUAUUUUCUCAUACCUUUACUUUAAAUGUAUAUGUGUCUUUACAGCUAAUAUUUGUUUCUUAUAGGCAGCAUAUAGUUAGGUCUUGCUUUUUUAUCCAAUGUUAAAAUCCUUAUCUUUUAAUUUGGGUGUAUAGGCCAUUUUUACUUAAUAUGAAUGUUGAUAUGAUCUAUUAAAUUCUAUUUGUCCCAAUUUGAUUUAUAAGGCAGGAUUUGAACAGAUAUUUAACCAAAGAUGAUAUCUGAAUGGCCAGUGAGCAUGUUGGAGGAUUCUCAACUUAUUUUUCCAUUACAAAAAUGCAAAUUAAAACUACAAUGACAUACAGCUGCACACUACUUAGAGGGGCUAAAGUGGCCGCCCUCACCUGGUGCUGGUGAGAAUGUGGAUGGACUAGGGCUCUCAUUCACUGCUGGUAAGAAUGUAAAACAGUGCAAGAACUUCGGAAAAUAGUUUGGCAGGUUUUUUUAAAAGUUAAACAUGCACCUGCCAUAUGACCCAGCCAUUCCACUCAUAGGUAUUUUUACCCAAGAGAAAGGAGGUUUUUCUAUACAUAUAUCUGUAUAUCGAUGUUACAUCAACUUCAUCUGAAAUUGUCCAAACCUGGAAACAACUAAAACGCCCACCGACAGAUGAAGAGAGAAAUUGCUCCUCUAUCCAUACAGUGGAACAUACUCAGCAACAGACGGAUGAACUGUUGAUACGUGAGACAACAUGGAGAAAUCUCAAAAUAGUUAUUCUGAGUGAAAAAACAGACAAAAAAGGGAGUACAUAUUUCAUGACUCUAUGUGUGUAAAAUUCUAGAACACGCAAACUAAUCCGUAGUGACAGAAAGCAGAUCCAUGGUUGCCUGGGGAGAUGAAGCCACAGGAGAUAGGGAGGAAGGAGAAAGGGAGUUCGAAAGCCAAGAAGAGGCUUUAGGAGCGGGGAUUUGUACAUCUUGAUUGUGGUGACGCUUCACAAAUGUAUAUAUAUGUCAAAACGUAUCAAAUUGUCCAUUUUUAAUAUGUGUCACUAAUUGUAUGCCAAUUACACCCCAAAAAAGCUGUUUUUCAAAAAUCCAACUUAAACUUAGAAUUUACCACCAAAAGAAUACAAAUAAGGACUAGGCCUUCCAAAACACUAGAGAAAAAAUAAAAUAGUAAAGAAAACAGCUCACAAAGCCAAAGAUAGGGAAAGAAAAAGGAUAACAAAGCAUAAAUAACAGAUGUAUCAACAAACAUGUCUGUUUUGACAAUAAACACUAUUUAAAGAAAACCAUCCAAAUAUACACUCCUCACAAAGGGUACACGUAAAAUAAAAUACUUAAAUGUUAAAAAGAAAAGGAAAGCAAAUAUAUGUUAGGCAAGCAUAAACAAUAAGAAAGAGAGUUGGUAAAAUGAGUAUCAGAUAAAGCCAAAAAGCACUAAAAGAGACAAAGAGUAAUUUGAUUCUGAGGAACAAUUAAAGACCCAAUGAGGGCACAGCAACGAUUAACCUUUAAGCAGGGAAUAAUUUAUCAUCCAAAUCUACAAAGCAAAAACUGUAAGACAUACAACUGGAAAUUAGCAACAAAAAGGCAAAUGUUAGCCCCAAGGAUCAAGCUAUAUAAAGGCACACUUUGUUUAAUUGUGUCCAUUUUUAAUUUGAAUGGUGAGAUUGUUUUGAAUGAGUGGGAGAAAAUUUACAUCCUCCAACAGCGACUGUGAGACACAGCUUGAGGAGUGCAUAGGGAACCCUUAGCCCUCCCUCCCCACCUGCCCAGCCCUACUUUGGGCCACGAGGAGAGGAGGCAGAGCAGAGACUGUCUUCAGCCAUGAGAGUGAUGGUGUGUGAGAGACUAUUCCUUCUCCUAGUGGCAAACCCAGCUCAGAGCUGGCUCUUCUUUCUCCCUAGAGCCCAGGUCUCCAGCCCAAGGAACCGCCUCACCUUGUCAUCCCAGGAGGGUUGGUGCCCACUUAUCUGCAGCUUCCUGACCCAAAUAGCCAGACCUUCCACAGGUUUGCCUACAAGAGGGCUAGUGCGUCCUGCAACUCAGAUGCUUUUCCAUCAAAAUAAAUGCCCAUAUAGAAGGAGUCAAGAAUAAAUACCCACAUCCACCAUCGCAGUGUGGUAAGAACAUUACAAGGACACUGAUGAGAAUGAAGCCGGACAUCACUGAGCCCCACCGUCCUGUGUCAUGUUGGCUAAGGCCCCGUGCUCCGUCCUGUAUGUAAGAAGCCAGCCGGGUGCCUCUCAGGGUUCUGGGCAUCCCUGGGGGGUUACGCCCUGUGCUCACUCUGGCUGGAGGCCCCGACUCCAGCAGAGGCCACUCGCCCCUUCCUCGGCUCCUGCUGCCGCUCUCUUCUCCUGAGUCCAUGAAAACACUGACGCCAAGUUACAUCCUGUUCCUUAUUUGUCCCAACACUCCUCCAAGAGCCCAAACUACUGUGAUCUCAGGAGCUGGAAAAAGCUUGCCGCUCAGAAAGGCAAACACCUUGCACAUCUUCCACCAGGACACCUGAAGUCAAGCUGCUCCCCACAAGAGGCACACCAGUGCAGAUGGUUAAACGACAACUUCUGCACCCACUCCUCAAAGAAGUCCAUAAUCUCUUGCCUCCUCUUGGUCCUGGGAGCCAUGUGCUCUCUGCACUCUUGCCUUGAGCCCAGUCCCAGCUCUGGGAGGCAUAUGCUCCUGGCCAUCACCCCUAAUCAAAUGGGGAAACUGAGGCUGGGAGAGGAUAAGGGACUCAGCCAAGAUUGUAACCCUACUAGGUUUGUAGCCCACUGUGCAGCGCGUCAAUACACAGAUACAGUGUAUUGCACUGGGUUGCAGCAGGGGAAGACUUUAGUAAUUGUAGGGCAGCCGAAUGAGGAGAUGAGAGGAAACCUCAAAUCCACCUGCCCAGGAAGUUUGGGAUGGGCUCUUAAGGGGUCUGGGCAGGUGAUGGGCUAAAGUGUGGGGAUUGCUGACUGGUGGAGAAGUGUGGAGGAUGAAGAAACCGCAUUCCUGUACUUUACUGCUUCCUUGGUCGGGGGUCUUCAUACCUGUUGGCCUCAGCCGUGCUACUAGAAUUCAGGAUCUGAAAAACACCUUAAGCAAUUCUUGAGUAAAAAGACCCAGGGCCAGAGAGUCUCUCUGGUGGAAGAACGGGGCAGCAGGUGCUCAGCCUGCCGAGGGACUCUCUGUGCAUUAGAGCUGCAGGGGACUGGGUGGAAGUGGCCCUGCACACCCGGGUCGGUGCCUCGCUAUAACUCUGCCUGAAGCCUGGCUUGGAUUGUCGUUAACCCUGUGAGGUGAUUCAGUGUGGAGUCAGGAUCCAAUAUGGGUUUAUUUCACAUGCUAACACCAAAUGAGAGCCAGAUAUUUGAAAAUGCAGAUUUCCAAGCUUCUCGGGAGCACCCUCAAGUAGGUCAGCGGCUGCUCCAUCGGGCCCCACGUCGCUCAGGCUUAAGUAAAACGUGCCUGGCUUCAGGCAGACGAGUGAAUGUGAGUGUGUCUGUGAGUGUGUAUGUCUACGUCUGUCUGUCUGUGAGUGUGUCUCUGUGUCUGUGAUGACUGUGUCUGUCAGUGUGUCUGUGUGAGAUCGUCUAUGAGUGUAUGUGUCUGUGUGUGACUGUGUGUGAGCAAAUGUCUCUGUGUGCCUGUGUGUGUCUGUGUAAGUGUGUCCCUGUGUGUCUGUAGUGUGUGUGUCUGAGUGUCUGUCUGAGAGUGUGUGUCUGUCUGUAUGCCUGCAAGUGUGUGCGCGUGUCCCUCCAUCUGUGUGUCUGUGAGCACCUGGGUCUGCAUUUGAGACCCCUGCCCUCACCCUACAAUCUCCCUGCUGCCACACCCCAAAGCUCCAGCACAUUCCUGGAGGAAUUAGAGAGACGAUGCUGUGCCACUGCCCUCCCUUUGAAGUGCACCUGAUGGGGACACAGGGUCUCUGCCAUGAUCCCCACUGGGGCCUUGCCCCUGACCGCACACACUGUCCCAUCUCAGGAGGGUCUCACUGCUGCCCUUUCCUGGCUGUACUGAUGGCCCAAGGGGAUGCGGGAACCAUCAAGACCGAGUCCCUCUGGAGGUGCCUCAUCCCCGCACCGCCCGGCCCUCAGUGCACCCUCUAUGGGGUAGCACUAAGCCAUCCCCCAGGUUGCAGGAGGGAGAUGAACUAAUCUGAAACAUUAAGUAUGGCUUUGGAACCAACUUGGCUCUCCGGAUGACAACUCCCUUGUUCCAGAUGGUUCCUGUGUGCGCCCGCGUUCGUUAGCAUGCUAAUUUAUUCUGACUCAUUCCGGAGCUGGCGCGCGGGCUGGCGCACACCUCUAUGCCAGCACGAGUCCCCGAGGCCCGCGAUUCCCAGCUGGAGCGGCCCCCUCCCCGGGGGCUGUCACACACGCCGAGGGGAAUAAAGGGAAGGGAACAGUUGGGGAUGUGGCUUCAGUGGCAGCCCAGGCAGGCUAUAAUUUCAGCCCUGGCGCCCUGACAUUCACAGCAAGCUCUCGCUCUGUGGCAGAAUCCUCUCGGAAGGCAGCGCCACCCUCUGAGGACGUUCAGGCUGGGAGGUCCCGGGUGGAUCUCCCGCUGCAGCUAAAACACCAGUCAGGCCCCCACAAGGAAACCCAGAGCAAGCAAACACCGAGGAAGAAGUCGCUCCCUCAAAGGCAGCGUCUGGGGGCUGGUAGGAGGCUCCCGGCUGCCGGCCCCACCCCUGGUUGUGAACUCUGUGACCAAGACAGCAGGGACCGAGGGCUACCCACACUCCACAAGCGGGAGGGAUGGGAGCCGCCCGUCAGUGCCCUGCCCACCUCCGGGUGCCCGCCUUCCCUGGAAACAUUCCCACCGUCUUCCUGCAGCUGAAGCAGCGGAAUCACCCUGGGAUGGCCUGGGGAGGAGCCCGCAGAACGACCCGCAUGAGGACACUGAGCUGCAGGAAGCACACGCAGGGCUGGGGUCUCCGGACCGUGGGGCAGAACUUGGGGGGUCAGAGAGAACACACACAUUCGAAUCCCUAAAUUCCUGGUUCAAGGGACAGACCAAACCCCAGGUGCUCGGUGGGACCACGGGAGAAGCCGGCUUAGCUCAAGAAGGCACAAGGGCAGUGGCCAAGUCCCACCCCCAGGCUGAGCCCUGCCAGACGCCCUUUACAAUGUCAGCCUGGGAGUCUCUCCUGAGUCAGGGCAGCCAUCCACAAAGAGUGGACCCCCUAGAAGUCUGGGGGGUGUCCUUGAAUAACACUGUCAUCCCCAAAUCAGAGAGGGAGUUCAGGGGACCUGGGGAUGAGGGGAUUCAGGGGACCUGGGGAUGAGGGAGUUCAGGGGACCUGGGGAUGAGGGGGUUCAGGGGACCUGGGGAUGAGGGGGUUCAGGGGACCUGGGGAUGAGGGGGUUCAGGGGACCUGGGGAUAAGUGGAGCUCUGCCCUUCAGCGGCGCCCGGAGGGCCCGCAACCCCAUCCCCAUGUCUUCCUCAAGCUCCUGAGGGCGUACUUGGAAAAGCACUUCAUGAAUUCCCACACUGGUCCCCUGACCCCAGGACUGAGGAGCAACACGGUGGGACCCGGCACUCUCCCUGCUGCCAAACCCCAAAGCUCCAGCACAUUCCCGGAGGAAUUAGAGAGACAGUGCCAUGCCCCAAAGAUUUGGAAAUGCAGUCAGUUCUCCCUCUACCCGCAAGCACGGCUUCUGACGCGAUGACACUGUAAAUACAACUCGGAGCUGCACCCGGCAGCAGCUGCUGCUCCAGAUGCAGGGUCCUCAUGGGCAUCAGCCAGGCACCUGGUUUUCCCUCCCGUCCAGGAAAUCAGGAACCCUCCAGCCCUUGGGCUGGAGGGAGGCUGGGGCGUCUCCACCACCUGCUCUCAGGGACACCGCAGCACCCCUCUCUGUGACAGAGUUUGGUCCACAGAAGUGAUGGCUGCAGCACUACCUGGGCCUCAUGCUGGCCCAUGCGGGGGGACUCACCAUAGAACCAGAGACGGACACGGAGCACCUUACCUGCCAGAGGUGGGAGACAAGCCCCACUGGGUAGCACAGCUCUUGACACAGCCACGAAGGAGGGAGUGGCAGGCGAGGGAGAGGGGACAAAGCAAGACCAGGCCCUUCCUUCCACCCCUGAUGACCGAGGGCAUCACCGAUGCCCAAGGGUUAGGCCGCUGGGAAUUCCGGGCAGGCGGCUGCAGUGGGAGAGUUCCAGAAGAGAGCCCUCCCAGCGAGUAAGAUCCUCACGUGAGAGAGAGCUCCUGGCUCAUGUUGGGCCUGGGAGGCUGUAGACACCUGACAAUGGGACACCAAAUGACAAGGUGGCCCAGCUGCCCCAUGUGAACUGGAGGUCCCCUGAUCCACUAAGCCCUCGAGCUGGGCCACGCCCAAGAUGCUCCUCCCUCACCAGGUGAACGCCACAUGUGCCGGGCCAGGCCCAUGUGCCCACAGGCCCUCAGGCACCCACGGCUACACCUGUGGCCUCAUCUGUGGCUCCCGGGCUGGCUGAUGGGUGGUCUGGAGGCUGGUGGCAAGAGGCAUCAUCCAGCAGCCAGGCCUGAGCAGGGCACAAUGACAGUCACGUUUCCAUGAAGUGGGAGUGAUGUGAAGCCACAGUCCUGUGGGCCCCCAGGUGUGGCCAGAGGCUGGCCAUGAGAAGGACCGAGCUGGUGACAAGGAGGAAGCUGUUGGUGGCAAGGCUCGUUGGAACAGACACGGGCUGUACACACAUCUGCAUCCAGGUGACCACUCAGGAAGACCCAGAUGGGGAGGCUGUGAAUGACCAGGUGACAAGACACCCCAGCAGCAGGAUCCCCACAGAAUGCCACUUCUGCCCCAGGAGCCGCUGCAGAGGGGAAGAAGGGAAGAGUGAGCAGGUGUCAUGGGAUGACCCGGUCUCAUCCCAAACCCACCAUGAGCCCCUGUGAACAGCUAGAAGAGUGCGGAAGAUGAGGGGCCGCAGCCUUCUUCCCACCACAACAAGCCACCAACACAGAGGCUCCCCAUGGCCUGAGUCCUGGGGUGUGAGGGCUGCACAGGACAGGGCCCUGCCCUGCCCCCACCCCAGCCCCAGCGUUCUCCCCAGCCCCACUCCCCACCCCUGCUCCAACAUCCUCCCCA